AAACGGUACCGUGCAGUGUAUGACUACAGCGCUGCCGAUGAGGACGAGGUCUCCUUCCAGGAUGGGGACACCAUCGUCAAUGUGCAGCAGAUCGAUGAUGGCUGGAUGUAUGGGACCGUAGAGCGCACCGGUGACACGGGGAUGCUGCCAGCCAACUAUGUUGAGGCCAUCUGAGCCCCGUGCUGCCCCACCCUGUCUUCAAUGCAUUCCAUGGCAUCACAUCUGUCCUGGGGCCUGACCCAUCCACCCUUCAGUGUCUCUGUCUCUUAAGAUCUUCAACUGCUUCUUUAUCCCCGCCCCUCCUCCAGCUUCCUUUGCCAACCUAAGCCUUGUUCUGCUCCUGUCGUGGGCUCCUUCCUCUGGCAGGUUUCCCUUGGACCAAUCAACUGAUUGAUUUUUCUCUCUGGAUGGAACAGGCUGGGCACUCUGAGGAGGGCAGGAUUGUUCUGAGGAGGGUGGGAUCACAGGGCUGGGCUGAAACGAGAGACCCAUUAAGGAGAUCGGUUAGACUGGGUGUGGUGGCAUACACCUUUAAUCCCAGCAGAGGAUUCAUCCCAGCAAAGGGGGGAAGAGGCAGGCAGAUCUGUGACUUUGAAGCCAGUCUGGUCUACAUCAUGAGUUUCAUGACGGCCAGAGCUAUGUAGUGAGACCCUGUCUCGAGGGAGGAGGGACUGGUUAGCUCUUAGCUUCACUUCCCACCUUAGGCCCGUUGGAACCCCUGGCCCAGCUCCUCUGCACCCUUCUGCCUAGAGCUGGGGUGAGCUGCAUACUCCUCAUCCCACCAGGUGGGGCUCCACACAUUCCCAGGGGGUGGGUGUUAAGGCCUCAGUUAUGUAAAGAGCAAUGUGAUGGCCUUCCCCUAGUCCAUCUCUCUGCCUCCUCAGGGCAUCCAGGGGAGGGCAGACUUUCUGCUUCAGGCUGAAUCCCUGCCCCUCUGUUCCUUCACACACUGGAGUGUGCCAUUCUGCCCACACAAACCUAGGGCGGCCAAAGAGCUCCCCAGAAAUCCCAGCUUGGGUCAGAUUCUUGCCUUAGUUCUAGGGGCAGCAGCAGAAAGGAGGGAACGGGGUGUUCUCCUGGGCCCGAUUGCUUCCCUCCUCCCCCAGCCUCCUGGGACUCAUUAUCUCCCUGGCUGGGAGCCUGCUGUGAAGGGUAGAGCAAGGGAAGCCUUUGGGACUUGACUGAGCUGUUUCUUCCUGCUCCGCUGGGGAAAGGUCUCUGUGUCUCCUAUGGCCUUCCUUCCCUGGAACAAGGCUGGACUAGCCUAGAGCUCUGCAGUGACAGAAAAAUGGCAAGAGUUUUCUGGAGCACAGGAGGCCCUCCCACCUCCGCAGUGAGGUGGGAGAAGGCUUCUGCGUUAGAUGUGUGCUUUCCUGUCUUUGUGUCUGAGGCUACAGAGGGACCAAGUCACCCACACACUGUGGCACCUCACCUGAGGCUCUUCUGUCCUUGGAGCAAAGGAGGGAGUCCAGGGCUCCAAGGCUGGCGGCACCAUCUCUGGGCUGGUGCUAAACUCAAGUUCCUCCUUUGCAUCUGGGGCCCGGGACAGUACUCACUCGAUUUCAUUCAUCUCGGGCUUUUCUUGUCACUCCUCCUGGGUCUCCUGACUCAUCUUUACCCUGAGUGUGAUGUCAGGUCCCUUUACAUACUCAGACCCUGCUGCAGGUGACCUUUGAACCUGAAGACCUUGGCCAGGCUAGCAGUGUGGUGUCAUGAGGGCUUGCUAGAGUAAACCAUCUUCCUGCCUGGUCAAUCCUUUUACCUCCGACCCUAGCCUGGGUGAAGGCAAGGAGUGUUCUGGUGGGCAACAUGGGGAGAACCUUGUAGGAGCAUCUCAGGAGCUACUGGGGAGGUGCCCCACCCACUCCACUUCCCCUUGAUCUCAAAGCACAAUGCGGUUCUGGGGACCAGGGUUCAGGGGCGCUUGCUCUUGGAGGGCCUGUGUUCAGGAGGUGCUACAAGCCUCCUGGUUCCUCUCAGCUGAGCCUCCCUUCCCAACAUGUCAAGUCAGCUGCUCCUUUAGUGCCCUAGAACUGGGGGAGACUUUCCCACACCUGCAGAGGGAAGAGGAACUACCAAAGGUGCUGAGGGCCCCAAGCCUGCUGGAGUCCAUACUUUUCCAGAAGCAUCCAACCCUAGAAGAGCACAGAAUCCCCAAGCCCAUGGUCUCUUCCUUUGUAAAGGUCUUUUCAGCCAAUCAAAACCCAGGAAAGAGGGCGCCUUGGCUAGACUGUGAACUUAACUUUUGUGGACCAAUCCUGUAGCGCAAGAAGCCCCGUGGUGAGGAGCAUGAGUUCUUCCCAUGCUGCUUCCUGUCCCCUCCUCAUGUCCCUCCAGGGAACAUUUCAUUUCCUAAUAGCUGGACACAAGACAAAAAGAACCACCCCACAGAGCCUGUAUUUAAACAGAAACAGAAGUGACCCUGUGAAGUCCACCUCUGUCUAACAUUUCAUCCGUGUUUUUGUGUGUGUGUGUGUGUGUGUGUGUGUGUGUGUGUGUGUGUGUGUGCGUGUGAAGCCACCACUCAUCUUUUAUAUCGGAUUGUCAUCUUUCUUUGGUCUGUUUGGUCCCCUCCCUCCUGGCCUUGUGCUUGGGAUCAAUUCUUUCUGGCCUGUUAUGAUUUUUGAACAUUGACUUGAACCACAAAGUGAAUCUUUAUCCUGGUGACUCAAAUAAAAGUAUAAUUUUUACCUGCGGA
rnacentral:lncRNA from 1 species